AUCUAGCUGACGACUCCCACAUAGGACGAAACGCGCUUCAAACUGGUU
rnacentral:hammerhead_ribozyme from 1 species